GAUGGUUCUCGGGUGCCACACCCCAGAAUCUGGCUCCCUCCUCUCUGGUUCCGGGUGCAUCAUCCGAGAGCCGCA
rfam:Myotis lucifugus cont2.45038, whole genome shotgun sequence.